GACGAACGCUGGCGGCGUGCUUAACACAUGCAAGUCGAACGGAAAGGCCCUGCUUUUGUGGGGUGCUCGAGUGGCGAACGGGUGAGUAACACGUGAGUAACCUGCCCUUGACUUUGGGAUAACUUCAGGCAACUGGGGCUAAUACCGGAUAGGAGCUCCUGCUGCCUGGUGGGGGUUGGAAAGUUUCGGCGGUUGGGGAUGGACUCGCGGCUUAUCAGCUUGUUGGUGGGGUAGUGGCUUACCAAGGCUUUGACGGGUAGCCGGCCUGAGAGGGUGACCGGCCACAUUGGGACUGAGAUACGGCCCAGACUCCUACGGGAGGCAGCAGUGGGGAAUAUUGCACAAUGGGCGGAAGCCUGAUGCAGCAACGCCGCGUGCGGGAUGACGGCCUUCGGGUUGUAAACCGCUUUCGCCUGUGACGAAGCGUGAGUGACGGUAAUGGGUAAAGAAGCACCGGCUAACUACGUG
rnacentral:rRNA from 1 species